GGUUGGUCUGAGUGCAGUGGUGCUUACAACUAAUUGGUCACAUCCAAUUACAGAUUUAUUUGUUCAUUUUCCACUCCUACUGCUACAGUUGACUGGCCAAAA
ensembl:misc_RNA Y_RNA Y RNA